CCUACGGGGGGCAGCAGUGAGGAAUAUUGGUCAAUGGACGCAAGUCUGAACCAGCCAUGCCGCGUGCAGGAAGACGGCUCUAUGAGUUGUAAACUGCUUUUGUACGGGGGUAAACGCAGAUACGUGUAUCUAUCUGAGAGUCUCGUACGCAUAAGGAUCGGCUAACUCCGGGCCAGCAUCCGCGGUAAUACGGAGAAUUCCAGCGUUAUCCGGAUUUAUUGGGUUUAACGGGUGGGGAGGCGGUCGGGUAAGUUAGAGGUGAAAUCCCGCGGCUCAACCUCGGAAUUGCCUCUGAUACGGUGCGGCUAGAGAGUAGUUGAGGUAGGCGGAAUGCAUGGUGUAGCGGUGAAAUGCUUAGAGAUCAUACAGAACACCGAUUGCGAAGGCAGCUUACCAAGCUACUUCUGACGUUGAGGCACGAAAGCGUGGGGAGCAAACAGGAUUAGAUACCCUGGUAGUC
rnacentral:rRNA from 1 species